UCCGUAGGUGAACCUGCGGAGGGAUCAUUAAUGAAUGUUGGGUUAGCGAGUCUGAAAAUGACAAGCGCCCACACUUAUUACCACACACACUGUGAACCUUUUCCUUUAAUCGCAAGAUUUAAGGAAAAAAACUCCUGUGAUUUAAACAAGUCUAGGAUGUCAAUCCAAUUGAAAAACUAUUAUACAACUAUAAACGGUGGAUCUCUUGGCUCUCGUAUCGAUGAAGAACGCAGCGAAACGCGAAAUGUAAUGUGAAUUGCAGAAUUCAGUGAAUCAUCGAAUCUUUGAACGCACCUUGCGCUCUUGGGCUAUUCCUGAGAGCAUGCUUGUUUGAGUGUCGCGAAACUCUCAACCCCGCCAAGGCUUUAUUGACUUGGUUGCUUGGGCUUGGAUCAUGGUCUUAAGCUGGUGUUAAACUAGCUGGACUGAAAUACAACAAGCUGAAUCAAUAUAUAUGCGGCUUGACCUGUUGUUGUAAGCAAUUAUACAAUGGGGACGCAUAAGAAUUGAAGGAGCUUACCAAAUGCUUUCAUUAUUUUCGAAGUCUUCGGAUGAGAACUUAGUGCAUUUUGACCUCAAAUCAAGUAGGACUACCCGCUGAACUUAAGCAUAUCAAUAAGCGGAGGAAAAG
rnacentral:rRNA from 1 species